UACGAGGGGGGCAAGCGUUGUUCGGAAUUAUUGGGCGUAAAGGGUGCGUAGGCGGUCGGAUAAGUCAUCUGUGAAAUCUAUGGGCUCAACCCAUAGUCUGCAGGCGAAACUGUCGGGCUUGAGUAUGGGAGAGGUGAGUGGAAUUUCCGGUGUAGCGGUGAAAUGCGUAGAUAUCGGAAGGAACACCUGUGGCGAAAGCGGCUCACUGGACCAUUACUGACGCUGAUGCACGAAAGCUAGGGGAGCAAACAGG
rnacentral:rRNA from 1 species